rnacentral:rRNA from 1 species
AACCAACAGGGAUUGCUCUAGUAACGGCGAGUGAACAAGCAAAAGCUCAGUUUUGAAAGCCUCUUCGGAGGCAUUGUAUUCUGAAGCCUAGAUUCUGGGAACCGGUACUUAAGUCUUCUGGAAAGGAGCGCCACGGAGGGUGAUAGCCCCGUACGGUACUGACCCCAUUGUAGUUUCUAGGCGUGGAGUCGAGUUGUUUGGGAAUGCAGCUCAAAUGGGAGGUAUGCUCCUUCUAAAGCUAAAUAUUUGCGAGAGACCGAUAGCGAACAAGUACUGUGAAGGAAAGAUGAAAAGAACUUUGAAAAGAGAGUGAAAUAGGACGUGAAAUUGUUGAAAUGGAAGGGUAGGCCGCUAACCAUGUAGGACCGUGUUUGAGGGGAAGAUAAAAGCUUCGGAACGUAGCUCCUCGGAGUGUUAUAGCCGAAGUCAAUGUUCCCACUCGAGCGCGAGGAUCUCAGGUUCUACUAAAUGGUGGUCUACCACCCGUCUUGAAACACGGGACCA